rnacentral:rRNA from 1 species
AUACGGAGGGGGCUAGCGUUGUUCGGAAUUACUGGGCGUAAAGCGCGUGUAGGCGGAUCGUUAAGUCAGGGGUGAAAGCCCGGAGCUCAACUCCGGAAUUGCCCUUGAUACUGGCGAUCUAGAGGCCGGGAGAGGUGAGCGGAAUUCCCAGUGUAGAGGUGAAAUUCGUAGAUAUUGGGAGGAACACCAGUGGCGAAGGCGGCUCACUGGCCCGGUUCUGACGCUGAGACGCGAAAGCGUGGGGAGCAAACAGGAUUAGAAACCCCAGUAGUCC